rnacentral:rRNA from 1 species
AGUUUUAAUUUUUAACUCUAAUUAUUGUGAUAUCUUUUUUUUUUCGUUAUUUUUUAUUUUAAUUUUUUUGUAAAAUAUUUUAAUUUUAUUUUACUUUGAGAAGAUAUCUAAAAUUUGUUUUUUGAACUGGAUUAGUACCCAGGUAAUCAAAAUUUAUUAAUUCGGGAGUAAAGUUUUAUUUAAACCGAAAAAAUAUUGACUGACUCUAGAUUUUUUUUUGGACAAUGUGUAUGGAGAGCCCUCCUUUAUAGUGAAUCUUAUUGGCACAUGUAUGAUUGUUUAGUUUUUAUAUUUUUUUGUAAUGCUUUCUUUGAGAUUUAAAACAGAUAUGUACUUGGUUUAUGGGUUUGUUGGACAUGUGUUACUAUUAAUAAUUUUUUUUGGAUAAUUUUUUUUAUUAUUUUUUGAAAUUGGAAAAAAAAGUAAUUGAUUUUUGAUGUAUUA